CACCCGAUGACUGAAAGUAAGUAUAGGCCUUUUAAGCCUACUAUAGUAUUCGCGCCUACUUCUGGUG
rnacentral:tRNA from 1 species